AGAGUUUGAUCAUGGCUCAGGACGAACGCUGGCGGCGGGCUUAACACUUGCAAGUCGAACGAACAGAUCGCUAAACUUCGGUUAAGCGUAAUGUUAGUGGCGAACGGGUGAGUAACACGUAGGUAACCUCCCCUCGAGAGGGGAAUAACCAUUGGAAACGAUGGCUAAUACCGCAUGAAGUCUCGACAACACCUGUUGUCGGGAUGAAAACUCCGGUGCUCGAGGAUGGGCCUGCGGUGGAUUAGGCAGUUGGUGAGGUAACGGCUCACCAAGCCCACGAUCCAUAGCUGGUCUGAGAGGAUGAUCAGCCACACUGGCACUGAGACACGGGCCAGACUCCUACGGGAGGCAGCAGUGAGGAAUAUUGGGCAAUGGGCGAAAGCCUGACCCAGCUACGCCGCGUGCAGGAUGACACCCCUCUGGGGCGUAAACUGCUUUUAUAUGGGAAGAACCUCCUGAACGUGUUCGGGACUGACGGUACCGUAUGAAUAAGGACCGGCUAACUCCGUGCCAGCAGCCGCGGUAAUACGGAGGGUCCAAGCGUUGUCCGGAUUUAUUGGGUGUAAAGGGUGUGUAGGCGGGCUUGCAAGUCAGAGGUGAAAUCCUACGGCUCAACCGUAGAACUGCCUUUGAUACUGCAAGUCUUGAGUCCUGGAGAGGUUGCUGGAAUUCGUGGUGUAGCGGUGAAAUGCGUAGAUAUCACGAGGAACACCAGUUACGAAGGUGGGCAACUGGACAGGUACUGACGCUGAGGCACGAAAGCGUGGGGAGCAAACAGGAUUAGAUACCCUGGUAGUCCACGCUGUAAACGAUGGACACUCGGUGUCGCCGAUUCGUUGGCGGUGCCCAAGCGAACGCAUUAAGUGUCCCACCUGGGGAGUACGAUCGCAAGGUUGAAACUCAAAGGAAUUGACGGGGGCCCGCACAAGCGGUGGAGCAUGUGGCUUAAUUCGAUGCAACGCGAGGAACCUUACCUGGGCUCGAACGCUACCGGACGGUUGCCCGAAAGGGGACUUUUCUUCGGAACUGGUAGUGAGGUGCUGCAUGGCUGUCGUCAGUUCGUGUCGUGAGAUGUUGGGUUAAGUCCCGCAACGAACGCAACCCCUAUCGUUAGUUACCAGCGGAUUAUGCCGGGGACUCUAGCGAGACUGCCUGCGCAAGCAGUGAGGAAGGUGGGGAUGACGUCAAGUCAUCAUGGCCCUUAUGCCCAGGGCUGCACACGUGCUACAAUGGUCGAUACAACGGGCAGCCACCCCGCGAGGGGGAGCUAAUCCAUAAAGUCGGCCUCAGUUCGGAUCGGAGUCUGCAACUCGACUCCGUGAAGUCGGAAUCGCUAGUAAUCGCGUAUCAGCAACGACGCGGUGAAUACGUUCCCGGGCCUUGUACACACCGCCCGUCAAGCCAUGAAAGCCGGGGGCACCCGAAGUCCGUGACCUAACUUAUGAGGGAGCGGCCGAAGGUGAAACUGGUGACUGGGGCUAAGUCGUAACAAGGUAACCGUA
rnacentral:rRNA from 1 species